rnacentral:tRNA from 1 species
CAAGGAAUAGUUUAUGUAGAAUUCCAGCUUUGGGUGUUGGUGGUGAGGUUUAA